rnacentral:rRNA from 1 species
CGGAUUGUAGUCUGCAACUCGACUACAUGAAGCUGGAAUCGCUAGUAAUCGCGAAUCAGAAUGUCGCGGUGAAUACGUUCCCGGGUCUUGUACACACCGCCCGUCACACCAUGGGAGUUGGGAAUGCCCGAAGCCGGUGACCUAACCGAAAGGGAGGAGCCGUCGAAGGCAGGCUUGAUAACUGGGGUGAAGUCGUAACAAGGUAUC